GAUUUUUAAUUUUGUAAUCUUCUAACUUUCAUCUUUUAUCUUAAAAAAAAUCUUAACAUCAUGUUAGUGUUGAACUUAAAUAUUUAAGGCUAUUUAUUAUUGAUUUUCUAAUUCUAGAUGAAGUUUUAUCAAAAAAACUUCAUCUGUAGAUAACUUCCUAUGUAGAACUCUGAUUUAUAUGGUUAACACUAUCUUGGAAAGCCCUAGACUAGCACUUUAGUAUGGUAUUUAAUAUUUUUAUUUUAUUUUAUUAUAAUCCAUAAUUUUUAGAGUUUAAGUUUGAUGAAAUAAGUCUUGGAAGGUACUUAACUAAAUGAAUUGAAAAUGCUAAAAAUUAAAUCAUAAAAAGGUGUAAUUAACUUAUUGUAUUGUUGGAUUAAUUUUUAUUAUUACAUCAUUUUGGUUUUUCUAUCUUAUAGAUGAUUUUCAUCUCCACAUUAAUU
rnacentral:lncRNA from 1 species